AUUGAACGCUGGCGGCAUGCUUUACACAUGCAAGUCGGACGGCAGCGGGGUAUUUCUUGCACUACUGCCGGCUAGUGUCGAACGGGUGUGUAAUAUAUUUGAACUUACCGAUUUAUGGGUGUUAUCCAAUCGAAAGAUUUCCUCUUACCGCAUACGCUCUGAGGUGGAUAGCUGGUGACCUUCUUGCCUUGCGUUAUUCUUGCGUCCAAUAUAUGAUUAGCUAGUUGUUGGGGUAAUGUCCUACAAAGGCGACGAUCAGUAGAGGGUCUGAGAGGAUGAUCAGCAAAACUGGGAGUGAGACACGGAAAAGACUCCUACGGGAGGCAGCAGUGGGGAAUUGUGGACAAUGGGCGCAAGCCUGAUCCAGCAAUGCCGCGUGUCUGAAGAAGGCCUUAGGGUUGUAAAGGACUUUUGUUAGGGAAGAAAAAGGAGAGGUUAAUACCCGUAUCUGAUGACGGUAACUAAAGAAUAAGCACCGGCUAACUACGUG
rnacentral:rRNA from 1 species